rnacentral:misc_RNA from 1 species
AAAAGUCGUAACAAGGUUUCCGUAGGUGAACCUGCGGAAGGAUCAUUAACCUUUCAAAUCAGGGUGCGUCGCGGCCCCCGAGGAGCGGAAACAAUCCUUGGGAGGUUUGCGGAGUCUUCGGACCCCUUAACGCACGCACGACUGCCAUCCUUACUUUACGAGCACCUUCUGUUCUCCCUCGGCGGGGCAACCUGCCGUUGGAACCGAAUAAACUCUUUUUGCAUCUAGCAUUACCUGUUCCGAAACAAACAAUCGUUACAACUUUCAACAAUGGAUCUCUUGGCUC